rnacentral:lncRNA from 1 species
UGCCUAAAAUCACACUGCUAAUAAGCGUCUAAAAUCUCUGACUACAGGACUCAUCUACUGCUCUACCUAGCUGCUCUAAAGAAAUGAAAGCAGAGAUCAUUUAGUCUGACUCAUUUUAAAGAUUAGGAAAUGGAGGAUCAGAAGGAUUAAAUGAUUUUCUCAAGGUUACCAGGUAGAAAAAGAAGCAGAGUCAGAAAAUAGUUCAUUCCAAGGCUCUUUCCACUGUUCCAGCCUGGGAUUCAAAGAAGCUCCAGUUUCAGCCCCAGCUUUGCUAGUAACUAGUUGAACAACCCUGGACAAAUCUCUUUUUCUGAAGGAGCUUCAGAUUUCUGUAAAGUGAGAAGGUUCAAUCAAAUUGGAUUCAGCAGACCUGUAUUAAGUGUCAACUAUAGACAAGGCACUGUAAAAAGUAAUCGAAUUUCUGUAACCCUGUACAGAUUAAAGGAUAAUGUCACCACAACCACCCUGUGAGCUUUCUCAUAGAACAGCAAAACAAAUUUUUAUACUGGCCAUGGCCCAUCCCAUCUUAUUCUGGAUUUUAAGGUUCCCUCACCAACCUCCAUCAGCAGACACUUGUGCAUGAAGAUUUAAGUGGAAAAGUCGGUGCACAGAGACAGUCCCACUCUCUCGGCAUUGGAAGCCUGGGUCCAGUGGCACGAAAAGUCGUUACACCUGGA